UACGAAGGGGGCGAGCGUUGUUCGGAUUUACUGGGCGUAAAGGGCGCGCAGGCGGCUAGUUUUGUCGAGUGUGAAAGCCCCGGGCUUAACCUGGGAACUGCGCUCGAAACGGGCUGGCUAGAGAUCGGGAGAGGAGAGUGGAAUUCCCAGUGUAGAGGUGAAAUUCGUAGAUAUUGGGAAGAACACCGGUGGCGAAGGCGGCUCUCUGGACCGAUACUGACGCUGAGGCGCGAAAGCGUGAGGAGCAAACAGG
rnacentral:rRNA from 1 species